AUUGAACGCUGGCGGCAGGCCUAACACAUGCAAGUCGAGCGAGCGGCGGACGGGUGAGUAAUGUAUGGGGAUCUGCCCGAUGGAGGGGGAUAACUACUGGAAACGGUGGCUAAUACCGCAUACUAUCGGAUGUACCCAUAUGGGAUUAGCUAGUAGGUGGGGUAACGGCUCACCUAGGCGACGAUCCCUAGCUGGUCUGAGAGGAUGCUCAGCAACACUGGAACGGAGACACGGCCCAGACUCCUACGGGAGGCAGCAGUGGGGAAUAUUGCACAAUGGGCGCAAGCCUGAUACAGCCAUGCCGCGUGUAUGAAGAAGGCCUUGGGGUUGUAAAGUACUUUCAGCGGGGAGGCGUUACCCGCAGAAGAAGCACCGGCUAACGCCGUGCCAGCAGCCGCGGUGAUAC
rnacentral:rRNA from 1 species